rnacentral:lncRNA from 1 species
UGAUUCCCCAUGUUCAGGUCGGCUGUUUCUGUGGGUUUUCUUGGCAUGGUCUUGACACCUUUGCUCAUUCCUCCUCUCUUCCGACAGCUGGAUUCCAGGAGUUUGGCUCAGGGCUUAGCUGUGAAUCUAUGCUUCGCUACCAUCAGCUACUUGAUGAAGGCUCUAAAGAUCUUCACUAACCUCACAUCUGACAGAUGCCUGAUCUCCAAAAUAUACAAAGAACUCAAGAAACUAGUCACCAUGACACCAAAUAACCCGUGUGGCCUGGAGCUCCAGAUGGCUGUCUCUUUAAGAAGUCUCGACCCUUUAUGUACAAGCGUGUGGAAUCUGAAUGUGAUGGCUGGGAUCUGUCAUUUACAGUAGCUCAAGGAUUUACCCAGGAAUAAAUUAACAGCAG